rnacentral:lncRNA from 1 species
CACUGUAUUCAAAACAUUUUAUUUAAGUAAUAAAGUACUUAAAACACAUUUGAAAUAUAGUACUCAAAAAGAUUAAGCUUUUGUCAGCUGAAAGAUUUCCUCACACAUCUUGCUGAGCCUCAUUCUUCAACAGUGCAGAAUAGGCCCCUUCUAUAGAAGAAACAGAGAUAUGCAAGCACAAACAACUUUAAUGGUUCACGGUAAUUAAGAAGGAAGUGUGAAUCUCUGACUGAAAAAUGAAAAUAAUUACAAGUGUAUCUAUACAGAAAAUACAAGUUUUCAAGAGCUUAACAUCAAUUAGCUGCUGUCAAAAUAGUUAAGGAAACCUAAUAUAAAAAUGCUUAAUAGUGGGGCACAACAUAUGACAAAGAGGGAAGACAAACCAAGAGAAUGAACGAAGGAAGGCGAGAUGUAAAUAUCAGAAGCGUUUUUACAAACAGGGAUUCAGAUCAGAGAAAACAAACACAAAUUUGUCUAGGAUAUGACCAAUGAGGUAACAGAAAGCAACCAAAAGUCAGUUAUAAAUCAAAAAUGACAACCAAAAUCCCAGGGAGUCUUAAAUUAUUUAAUCCAGACAUUAUCUAACCCCUCAGAAUUGCUUAGUGCUAAAUAUGUUGUUCAUCAUUCUCCAUUAGAAUGAAAUGCAAAACAAACACAUUACUGGUUGAAUAGAGUGUUUCAGAGCUAAUUCACCCUUUGAAGGUCAGGAUCAGCAGUAUUAUUGUGUUAACACAAUACAUUUCUUAAUAUGGAAAAAUACAUUUCUUAAUAUGGAAAAAUAAAUUGCAAAGAAGAAAUUAAAGUAAACUUUAUUUUGAAACAAUCAGCCCAAUUUCAAACUUCAAAUAAAUGGACCUUAAAAUGUUC